GAUUCUUUCUCCUUUCUUAACCCAGAUUGAUUGAUCGGUUGAUUGAUAUAACCCAGCAGUGUGCAUUCCUGAUGCCUAUCUGAAUCAAUUCCUGUUUCUGAUUACUAAUUGGCCUGCUUCCUUUCGUUAAUUGCACUUUUGUGAGGACUACUCUGGGUGACCCGCAUUGUGAGCUCAUUAACAGCUUUGUUCGACCUCAGGCAGGUUAAGGCAGUCACCCAAGGUCAGACACCUAUUUAAUGGGGAGUCUGGUUUCAAACCCACAUCUGACUGACAGCAAUUCCACCCUGAGCUUUGAAGGCUCAGAAGACACAUUGCUGAGAGCAAAGCUGAAUUAACUCUGUGUGGGUUGAAGAAAGAAGACAUGAGAUUUGGAGUCAAACAGGCAGGAGUUCUAACCCUCCUCUUGCUAACUUGUGAUCCUUGGUAUCUUCUUACUGGAUAGCUGAUCAUUCUAUUAAUGAAGAAUAAUCUUGGAGAUUAAUUUGUGCUAGGAACCACAGCCAACUCCCACUGGAAUUGUCUAUCAAGAGUAAUAGGAUUGGCCAUUUUUCUGAAAAUCCUGCUUCCUUUUAGUUGGAAAUGUUAUCUACUGGGCCCAAAUUUGAUGCUAGAAGUUUUCAUUGCUAUUUGGUUCUUGUGGUCAAUUGUUCCAGAGGUGGAGGCUGCGACUCCUUCCAUUGAGUAUGCCCUUUUGUAAUGAUGUUUACUACUCCUUUCAUCAAGACGUGGCAUCUGUUUCCCCUGCCACUGUGUAUGAGCCGGCCCUGUGAUUUGUUUUACCUAUUACAGUGUAGUGGAAGUGACACUUUGUGAAUUCCAGACCUAGACCUUAAGAAGUUUCCAUUGUUUGUCUUCUGGGAAACCUGUCACUACCUAAAGAAGUCUGGGCUAUAUCUCUGAAGAGAAAAGCCUUGGAAGAUAUGACUCCAUGUAGAGAGGGAGACCAUGUGGAGAACAGCCAAUGAUCCAGAUACAUAAAAUGACCACGAAAAGAAAGGCUACUCAUCCCAGAAACUGCACCAACCAUUUGAGCUGAUCCUCUGGCCUCUACCAAGCUUCCCAGGCAACACUAUGGAGAACAGAGAUGAGCCAUCCCUGCUGAUCCUUUCCUAAAUUUCUGUUCCUCAGAAUUUACAAUACAUGUAUAUGUAGUCAUGCUCAUGUAUCUCAGGAUUUUAUAUCCAGAUAAAGCAAAAGAAAAGUAAAUUCAUCCCAACAUGGAAAUGCUUUCAACCCUUUUUCAGAAACAGUCACCUGCUGUCCACACAAAAAUUGACUAUGAGAUCCUUCCAACCUUCCUUUAUGUUCUGAUCUGGCCAAGAUUUUUAAAAGUCUA
ensembl:lncRNA